rnacentral:rRNA from 1 species
UUACCUACGGGUGGCAGCAGUGGGGAAUUUUGGACAAUGGGCGAAAGCCUGAUCCAGCCAUGCCGCGUGAGUGAAGAAGGCCUUCGGGUUGUAAAGCUCUUUCAGACGGAAAGAAAUCUUCUGGGCUAAUACCCUGGGAGGAUGACGGUACCGUAAGAAGAAGCACCGGCUAACUACGUGCCAGCAGCCGCGGUAAUACGUAGGGUGCGAGCGUUAAUCGGAAUUACUGGGCGUAAAGCGUGCGCAGGCGGGGUUGUAAGACAGAUGUGAAAUCCCCGGGCUCAACCUGGGAACUGCGUUUGUGACUGCAUCACUCGAGUACGGCAGAGGGAGGUGGAAUUCCGCGUGUAGCAGUGAAAUGCGUAGAGAUGCGGAGGAACACCGAUGGCGAAGGCAGCCUCCUGGGCCAGUACUGACGCUCAUGCACGAAAGCGUGGGGAGCAAACAGGAUUAGAUACCCGUGUAGUCC